rnacentral:rRNA from 1 species
CCUACGGGUGGCAGCAGUGGGGGAUAUUGCACAAUGGGGGAAACCCUGAUGCAGCGACGCCGCGUGUGGGAAGACGGUCCUCUGGAUUGUAAACCACUGUCCCCAGGGACGAAGAUGACGGUACCUGGGGAGGAAGCUCCGGCUAACUACGUGCCAGCAGCCGCGGUAAUACGUAGGGAGCGAGCGUUGUCCGGAAUUACUGGGUGAAAAGGGAGCGGAGGCGGGACUGCAAGUUGGGGGUCAAAUCUACCGGCUCAACCGGUAGCCGCACUCAAAACUGCAGUUCUUGAGUGAAGUAGAGGCAGGCGGAAUUCCUAGUGUAGCGGUGAAAUGCGUAGAUAUUAGGAGGAACACCAGUGGCGAAGGCGGCCUGCUGGGCUUUUACUGACGCUGAGGCUCGAAAGUGUGGGGAGCAAACAGGAUUAGAUACCCCAGUAGUC